AAAAGUCGUAACAAGGUUUCCGUAGGUGAACCUGCGGAAGGAUCAUUAGUGAAUAUAGGACGUCCAACUUAACUUGGAGUCCGAACUCUCACUUUCUAACCCUGUGCACUUGUUUGGGAUAGUAACUCUCGCAAGAGAGCGAACUCCUAUUCACUUAUAAACACAAAGUCUAUGAAUGUAUUAAAUUUUAUAACAAAAUAAAACUUUCAACAACGGAUCUCUUGGCUCUCG
rnacentral:misc_RNA from 1 species